AUUGAACGCUGGCGGCAGGCCUAACACAUGCAAGUCGAGCGAGCGGCGGACGGGUGAGUAAUGUCUGGGAAACUGCCUGAUGGCGGGGGAUAACUACUGGAAACGGUAGCUAAUACCGCAUACCAUCAGAUGUGCCCAGAUGGGAUUAGCUAGUAGGUGGGGUAACGGCUCACCUAGGCGACGCUCCCUAGCUGGUCUGAGAGGAUGACCAGCAAAACGGGAACUGGGACACGGUCCAGACGCGUACGGGAGGCAGCAGUGGGGAAUAUUGCACAAUGGGCGCAAGCCUGAUGCAGCAAUGCCGCGUGUGUGAAGAAGGCCUUCGGGUUGUAAAGCACUUUCAGCGGGGAGGCGUUACCCGCAGAAGAAGCACCGGCUAACGCCGUGCCAGCAGCCGCGGUAAUUC
rnacentral:rRNA from 1 species